rnacentral:rRNA from 1 species
CAAUAGCGUAUAUUAAAGCUGUUGCGGUUAAAAAGCUCGUAGUUGGAUUUCUGUCAAGGACAGCUGGUCCGCCCUCCGGGUGAGUACAUAGCUUGGUCUUGGCAUCUUGUUGGAAAUUGUUGCUGCGCUUGGUUGUGUGGUGCAGUUUCCAGCACAUUCACUUUGAGGAAAUUGGAGUGUUUCAAGCAGGCACAAGCCUUCGGACACAGUAGCAUGGAAUAAUUAGAUUGGGCUUUUGCUCCAACUUGUCGGUUCCUGGAGCUGAGGUGAGACUCAAUGGGGAUUGUUGGGGGCAUCUGAAUUUAGCCGUCAGAGGUGAAAUUCUUGGAUCUGCUAAAGACGGACAACUGCGAAAGCGUUUGUCCAGGAUGUUUUCAUUGA